UGUGAGGCCUUGCCCGGCUCCCACUCCUCAGCGAUCCCCUAGGCGCGGACCCAGUGCCUGCCCCUCCCCAGCGCUCUCUUUUCUAGUGCGUUCUGCGCUGCCCCUCCGCCGCUGCUCCGUUUUCUUUCCCUUUCUUUCUUUUUUCUCCUUCUCCUUCCCCCUCGCUCCCCCUUCUCCAGCUCCGUGUCAUUUCCUCCUUGGGCUCGCUCGCUGCCCUAGCGUCUGCAGUCCGGAGAGGAGGCGGAGCAGGGCGGCGCGGGCGGCGUAGCGCUGGAGAGCGAUGGUGGUGGAGCUGCUGGGGGCGGAGGCGACGUAGCCCCGGCAGAGAAGGAGCCCGCGGCGCCGCCGGAGCCGAGCCCACCAUGGAGAACCGGCCUGGGUCCUUCCAGUACGUCCCGGUGCAGCUGCAAGGGGGCGCGCCCUGGGGCUUCACCCUGAAGGGAGGUCUGGAACACUGCGAGCCGCUCACAGUGUCUAAGACUAUCAAAAAAUGAUUAUUCUUCAAACAACAAAACCUGAUCUUCCUGUCUCCUUUCCAUCAGUCAGGAUGAGACUUCUGAUGCCUGACUAGGCAGGAUCAAUGCCCCUUCAUCCUGAAGCAGCUAUAGGAAGGUGGACCUUUUGCAGCAGCUUCGAUUAAGAAUAGGGUGUCAAAAUCUUGGGGGAGAAAAAGAAGUAGGAUAGAAGAAAUUAAGGUAAGUAAAAAGAAGAUGAAAAAAUGUAUAAUUCUGAAUUCAUACUUUUAAGAAAACUACAGC
rnacentral:lncRNA from 1 species